AGUGAACGCUGGCGGUAGGCCUAACACAUGCAAGUCGAACGGCAGCACAGUAAGAGCUUGCUCUUACGGGUGGCGAGUGGCGGACGGGUGAGGAAUACAUCGGAAUCUACUUUUUCGUGGGGGAUAACGUAGGGAAACUUACGCUAAUACCGCAUACGACCUACGGGUGAAAGCAGGGGAUCUUCGGACCUUGCGCGAUUGAAUGAGCCGAUGUCGGAUUAGCUAGUUGGCGGGGUAAGGCCCACCAAGGCGACGAUCCGUAGCUGGUCUGAGAGGAUGAUCAGCCACACUGGAACUGAGACACGGUCCAGACUCCUACGGGAGGCAGCAGUGGGGAAUAUUGGACAAUGGGCGCAAGCCUGAUCCAGCCAUACCGCGUGGGUGAAGAAGGCCUUCAGGUUGUAAAGCCCUUUUGUUGGGAAAGAAAAGCAGCAGGUUAAUACCCCGCUGUUCUGACGGUACCCAAAGAAUAAGCACCGGCUAACUUCGUG
rnacentral:rRNA from 1 species